UACGUAGGGGGCAAGCGUUACCCGGAUUCACUGGGCGUAAAGCGCGUGUAGGCGGCUGGCCAAGCGUGGUGUGAAAUCUCCGGGCUCAACCCGGAAACUGCACUGCGAACUGGCCUGGCUGGAGUGCAGGAGAGGGAUGCGGAAUUCACGGUGUAGCGGUGAAAUGCGUAGAUAUCAAGUGGAACACCAGUGGCGAAGGCGAGUCUCUGGACAUUUCCUGACGCUGAGGCACGAAAGCCAGGGGAGCAAACGGG
rnacentral:rRNA from 1 species